rnacentral:rRNA from 1 species
GAGUUUGAUCGUGGCUCAGAUUGAACGCUGGCGGCAUGCCUUACACAUGCAAGUCGAACGGCAGCACGGGAGCUUGCUCCUGGUGGGCGAGUGGCGAACGGGUGAGUAAUGCAUCGGGAACGUAUCCUGGAGUGGGGGAUAACGUAGCGAAAGUUACGCUAAUACCGCAUAUUCUGUGAGCAGGAAAGCGGGGGACCUUCGGGCCUCGCGCUCUUGGAGCGGCCGAUGUCGGAUUAGCUAGUUGGUGAGGUAAAGGCUCACCAAGGCGACGAUCCGUAGCAGGUCUGAGAGGAUGAUCUGCCACACUGGAACUGAGACACGGUCCAGACUCCUACGGGAGGCAGCAGUGGGGAAUUUUGGACAAUGGGGGCAACCCUGAUCCAGCCAUGCCGCGUGAGUG